rnacentral:misc_RNA from 1 species
AACGCACGAGACCUGCGGACCUGCGGAAGGAUCAUUAACGAAACUUCAGUCGGCUUGUUAUCUGUGCUGGUGGCGACACAUGUGCACGUUAACAGGUCGCAUAUCCACACACCUGUGCAUCCUAUGACUCCGAGUGCCCUUUGUGUGCCUUUAUGGGCUGGCAACUCGAGAGUACUUUACACACUCUUGAAUGUAAUGGAAUGUCUGUGCAUAAUGUGCAAUCUGAAACAACUUUUAGCA